UACGUAGGGUGCAAGCGUUAAUCGGAAUUACUGGGCGUAAAGCGUGCGCAGGCGGUUGUGCAAGACAGAUGUGAAAUCCCCGGGCUUAACCUGGGAACUGCAUUUGUGACUGCACGGCUAGAGUGUGUCAGAGGGGGGUAGAAUUCCACGUGUAGCAGUGAAAUGCGUAGAUAUGUGGAGGAAUACCGAUGGCGAAGGCAGCCCCCUGGGAUAACACUGACGCUCAUGCACGAAAGCGUGGGGGAGCAAACAGG
rnacentral:rRNA from 1 species